rnacentral:rRNA from 1 species
CGAACGGGUGAGUAACACGUGGGCAACCUGCCCAAAAGAGGGGGAUAACACUUGGAAGCAGGUGCUAAUACCGCAUAACCAUAGUUACCGCAUGGUAACUAUGUAAAAGGUGGCUAUACUACCGCUUUUGGAUGGGCCCGCGGCGCAUUAGCUAGUUGGUAGGGUAAAGGCUUACCAAGGCAAUGAUGCGUAGCCGAGUUGAGAGACUGAUCGGCCACAUUGGGACUGAGACACGGCCCAAACUCCUACGGGAGGCAGCAG